AAACUCGCCUGCUGAGUUAAGUCGAGUCAUUUCACAGUGACAAGGUACUUUGGACUUAAGGAAGACAAUUUCGACACUUUAAGAAAGGAGAGAUGUCGAAGAUUUUGGUGGUGCUACUUAUCGUCUGCCUCGUAUCUCUACAAAACAGUGCGUUACGAGUUAGGCCUAACGUGACACCUUGCUGUAGGAGGUGCUUAAAGCAAUCUCAAUGUAGAGUUGAUCCAUGUGCUUUUACCACGUGCCUUCGUGGUUCAAAGUGCUGCCGCUGUAGCUGCAAGAGAGCCAUAUGCAAGUCAGCCUACAAGGGCUGAUAGAGUUCAAACGUUUUGUAUGACUAUUAAUAACUAUGAGCAACGCCUCAUUCUUAAACGUAUCACUGAAGCUCGUAAACUAUACCUGGCUUUCAUUGAAAUAAUCAUCAGAUAAUUUGGGUAAAUGAAGUCGGUGUUAAAAAUAAAUAAAUGGAUAAAUAAAUAAUGGAAAGAAAAGAGAAUGAAGUUCAACGUGGUUUAAGAUUAAAAAAACAAUUGAAUUGAAAACAAAAAGGCUGAAAUACUCUAAUAAAAUCUGAACUUUAUCAUCAUUAGUUCUUUUGUUCUGGCAACAACUGCUAACAGUUUGUCGGAAAUGAUUAUUCAGAUACUGCGCUGUUGAUGUUAUGAAAGACGAUUAAACUUUGGUGAGUUACCGAG